GUUUAUAUAAUUUAAAUAAGAUAUUAGACUGUGACUCUAACUAUGAGAGUUAAAA
rnacentral:tRNA from 1 species